AGGGCGCAUGGUGAAUGCCUUGGCAUCAGGAGCCGAUGAAGGACGUGAUAAGCUGCGAUAAGCUUCGGGUAGGCGCACAUAGCCUGAGAUCCGAAGAUCUCCGAAUGAGGAAACUCACAUGGGAAACCCCAUGUAUCAUUAAGUGAAUACAUAGCUUAAUGAAGGUAACCCAGGGAACUGAAACAUCUAAGUACCUGGAGGAAGAGAAAGAAAAAUCGAUUUUCUUAGUAGCGGCGAGCGAAAGGGAAAGAGCCCAAACCGGAAACUUGUUUCCGGGGUUGUGGACAUAGCAUAAAAGUGGAGGCUAUUGUAACUGAAGAGAACUGGAAAGUUCCACCGUAGAAGGUAAUAGUCCUGUAAGUGAAACGAGAAGACCACGAGUUAUGAUCCAGAGUACCACGAGACACGUGAAACCUUGUGGGAAGCAGGGAGGACCACCUCCCAAGGCUAAAUACUACCUGAUGACCGAUAGUGAAGCAGUACCGUGAGGGAAAGGUGAAAAGAACCCCGGGAGGGGAGUGAAAUAGAACCUGAAACCGUGUGCCUACAACCGCUCAGAGCCCCUUAUGAGGGUGAUGAGGUGCUUUUUGUAGAACGAGCCAACGAGUUACGGUAUGUAGCAAGGUUAAGUACUUAAGGUACGGAGCCGAAGGGAAACCGAGUCUGAAUAGGGCGACUAGUUGCAUGCCGUAGACCCGAAACCGGGUGACCUAUCCAUGGCCAGGUUGAAGCGAGGGUAAAACCUCGUGGAGGACCGAACCACGUUGCUGUUGAAAAAGCAUGGGAUGAGCUGUGGAUAGCGGAGAAAUUCCAAUCGAACCCGGAGAUAGCUGGUUCUCUCCGAAAUAGCUUUAGGGCUAGCGUCGAGUAUGAGUAGUGGAGGUAGAGCACUGAAUGGGCUAGGGGGCAUAGCGCUUACCGAACCUUAUCAAACUCCGAAUGCCACAUACUUUGAGCUCGGCAGUCAGACUACGAAUGAUAAGAUCCGUGGUCAAAAGGGAAACAGCCCAGAUCGUCAGCUAAGGUCCCAAAGUGUAAGUUAAGUGGGAAAGGAUGUGAGAUUUCUAAGACAACUAGGAUGUUGGCUUAGAAGCAGCCAUUCAUUAAAAGAGUGCGUAAUAGCUCACUAGUCGAGAGAUCUUGCGCCGAAAAUGUAACGGGGCUAAACUUACCACCGAAGCUACGGGCUU
rnacentral:rRNA from 1 species